AGUACACAUCACCAAAGAGAGUACAGAUCACAGGACAAAGGGGCGCCAGAAAAGCCCAAAGAUAGUCAGACUCCCUGGUUUAGAGAGGAAACUCUUUAUCUUUGCAAAUAGACUCACAGCUCAGGAUCGGAUGUCCUGAGUCACAGAAGCCCCAGCUGUCCACUAACCAGCACCCCGCUGAAUCCGACAGCUCAGAAGAGGACGAAGAUAUGAAAGACCAGCCCUAAUGUGAGCAAUGCGUUGAUGGCUGGGAUCGACAGUGAAACGUUGUGAUGUCUCACUUUUAUCUCUGCGGACGGGUGAGGAUGAUGGCGACUCGGUUAAGUUGGUGUGCUGGACGGCCCAACAUGGAUCUACGGCUCCUUCAACUGUAGGAGGUAAAAUGGUCAGAUCUGAAAAGGCAUGGAGGAGCUGGAAGCUUCAUGCCAGGGCAGCCAGAACCCAGACUCCAUCCUUUGAACAUCCAGGAUUUCUUACAAACGGACACAAAGAACAUCUCUGAUUUCCUGAUCCCAGUAUUUAUUAUUCCGCUUCCCUACCGCCCAUCUCCUGAUAUUCUGCCUAUGUGGAGAAACAGAUGUAGACAGGGGUCUCUCUGGGUCUGCUUCAGCAAGGGGUGUGUUGGAGUCGGCUUAUACCAGCGUUCGAAGGCUGAAUAGGUUUUCAGGAAUUUAGUGAGCUGGUUGUUAACUAUAGCCAUUAUUGAGAAUUAUAUGAAUUUAAAAAUCAUAUCUUUACUAAAAACAAAGGUAAUAAAUAUUCAAAACACA